AUACAUACAGCCAAGUGUAACAGUUAAAAAUUUCUUUCAAACAUUUCACUCAGUGAAAUUUUAUCACCGACGAAGCAAGUUGAAUUCUCCUAUCCUGGAAAAAAAAAUUAAGAAAAGAAAAUUUUCCAACCCAAAACGGACUAAAAGUGAAUUUUUGAACAAAUAAUAGAAUAAAUUUAAAUAAAUUUAACAAAAAAUAGUUAUACAUAACUUCUUUUAAUCACAAAGUAAAAAAAAAUAAUUAAACAAAGUGUCUGUUUUUUUAGGUUUAUAUCUAUAUCCUAAAAUAAAGUUUUAAAGUUUUAAGCAAAAAUUUUUAAAAAAGUUACAUUUUUUGCUAAAAAAAAAAUCAAUAGAAAAAAGUUAUACAAACAAAUUCGAUUUGUCAUUGCGAAGGAAAAACCCACGACUACCGUUUCAUUGCAAAAUUUUAACUUUGCAUAAACAUUUCGGUUAUAAAUUACGCUGCAGCACAAUCCACAACACAACCAACCAACCACUUCCUGUUUAACUUUCCAUAUAAAGAAAAGGGUAACCUAAACAGCAACAGGCGACGACUGUAUAUUUUGCAAAUUUGGGAUUAAGCGAUUUGGUGUGAAACUUAAUAAGUGCUGAGAGCUCUGCUGAUUGUGGCUGAUUUAACUAGUUGCUGCUGCUACUGUGAAUUUUAAAAACUAGGCCGUUUGCAUUGCACUACUAACUGCAACAUUUAAAAAAUUUACAACGAAAAAAACAAAACAAAAAGUGAUUUGAAAAGCGCAAAGGAAAAAAUAACUAUCGCGCGCCACUAAAAGAGUGAGCUCGCGUUUUCACGGUCAAUAUAAGUGCAAUAGCAACUGCUGGGUGUGGGCGAAUUUGCGCCCCGCCACCGAUUUAGCUCGGGAGAUUUGUCUUCCGAGCACGAUGAUAUCGAUCCCAAUGACUUACCGCCAGCAGCUCGACCCAUACAGGAACAACCAACGAACCUGUGGUUGCUGCGCUGGCGGUGGACCACCAAAUAUGCCACCACCAACGGCCCCAGGAUCAGCGGGCAUACCACCACAGCCUCAAGGUGCGGCGCCAGAUUUCUCGUUGAGUUUUGGCAAAUCCGCAGGUACUACUGCUGCGGCAACGACCGGCUCAGCACCAGCUGGAGCAGCGGUACCACCACGUGGCGUAAGUGCUCCCACUAGUCCAGCUAAGUCACGUGAGAGCUUGUUGCAACGUGUUCAAAGUUUGACAGGGGCAGCACGAGAUCAAGGCGCUUCGAUA